rnacentral:lncRNA from 1 species
UGGAUUACCCGUUGAACACUUGGAAUACUAAUUGGAUACUCGGAAAAGCCUUUGCACAUAAGUGCCUCAAUUGUAGCUAAAGCUACCUCAUAUCUCAUGACAUUUCAAUGCUCACUCUCGAGCUAGUCAUCUAGACUCAUAAUUCCUAGUGACAUGUCACUCGUAUCCUAUUCUAUUCCUAAGGUUCAAACGGGAUUUUUCCUCGUCUAUUAAGGCUUUGUCUUAUCAUAUUUCUAUUAAUCACAUACACUUAAUAUCUGUACAAUUCAUGUAAUGAUAACAUUUAAAUACAUGUAUAGCAUGGUAUUGUUUACAUACAAACUUACCUCGAUACCACAAAGGUGAAAAGGACAUAAUCAUCCCUUAAUCGAUUUCUUUCCGUUCUAGGUCCAAAUCUCGAUUUCCUUGAU